rnacentral:rRNA from 1 species
CGGGGUGCACCAGGCGCGAAAACUUUGCAAUACACGAAAGUGUGACAGGGUCAUCCCGAGUGCCGACCGCUGAGGUUGGCUUUUACCCAGUCUAGAAAGCUGGGGGAAUAAGGAGAGGGCAAGUCUGGUGUCAGCCGCCGCGGUAAUACCAGCUCUCCGAGUGGUGUGGACGUUUAUUGGGCCUAAAGCAUCCGUAGCUGGCUGAACAAGUCCCCUGUUAAACCCACCGAUUUAAUCGUUGGUCUGCGGGGGAUACUGCUCGGCUAGGGGACGAGAGAGGCAGACGGUAUUCCCGGGGUAGGGGUGAAAUCCUAUAAUCCCGAGAAGACCACCAGUGGCGAAGGCUGUCUGCUAGAACGCGCCCGACGGUGAGGGAUGAAAGCUGGGGGAGCGAACCGGAUUAGAUACCCGGGUAGUCCCAGCUGUAAACGAUGCAGACUAGGUGUUUGGACGGCCACGUGCCGUUCUAGUGCCGCAGGGAAGCUGUUAAGUCUGCCGCCUGGGGAGUACGAUCGCAAGAUUGAAACUUAAAGGAAUUGGCGGGGGAGCACAAGGGCGAAUCGCGG